UCUGUGGUACUAUACCUCAGUUUUAUCAGGUGUUCAUUCAAAUCACCUGAAAACACUGAGGCUGCGUCCCACUGAAC
rnacentral:pre_miRNA from 14 species